rnacentral:rRNA from 1 species
GACGAACGCUGGCGGCGUGCUUAACACAUGCAAGUCGAACGAAGGGCGACGGAAGCUUGCUUCUAUCAAUCUUAGUGGCGAACGGGUGAGUAACGCGUAAUCAACCUGCCCUUCAGAGGGGGACAACAGUUGGAAACGACUGCUAAUACCGCAUACGAUCUAACCUCGGCAUCGAGGAUAGAUGAAAGGUGGCCUCUACAUGUAAGCUAUCACUGAAGGAGGGGAUUGCGUCUGAUUAGCUAGUUGGAGGGGUAACGGCCCACCAAGGCGAUGAUCAGUAGCCGGUCUGAGAGGAUGAACGGCCACAUUGGGACUGAGACACGGCCCAGACUCCUACGGGAGGCAGCAGUGGGGAAUCUGCCGCAAUGGACGAAAGUCUGACGGAGCAACGCCGCGUGAGUGAUGACGGCCUUCGGGUUGUAAAGCGCUGUUAAUCGGGACGAAAGGCCUUCUUGCGAAUAGUGAGAAGGAUUGACGGUACCGGAAUAGAAAGCCACGGCUAACUACG